rnacentral:rRNA from 1 species
GACGGAGGAUGCAAGCGUUAUCCGGGGUGAUUGGGCGUAAAGCGUUCGCAGGUGGCUAUUCAAGUCUGCUGUCAAAGACCGGGGCUUAACCCCAGAGAGGCAGUGGAAACUGAAUGGCUGGAGUGCGGAUCGGGUAGAGGGAAUUCCCAGUGUAGCGGUGAAAUGCGUAGAGAUUGGGAAGAACACCGGUGGCGAAAGCGCUCUGCUGGACUGCAACUGACACUGAGGGACGAAAGCUAGGGGAGCGAAAGGG